rnacentral:tRNA from 1 species
GCCUCCAUAGCUCAGCUGGCAGAGCACUUCCAUGGUAAGGAAGGGGUCAUCGGUUCGAAUCCGAUUGGAGGCU